rnacentral:lncRNA from 1 species
AGGAAGACAGAUCUUACAACUGUAGAGCAAGUGAAGUUUAGGAUUGGACCUUUUAUAGCUGCAAUAUGUUUUUGAAGCAAUGAACAAGAAAAAUCCGUCCAGAGCUAAAUGUUGACAACCUCGAUGCACCGGACCUCGACGAACAAUGACGACCUCAAAUCGAACUCAGUUCUGUCGCUGAAUUGUAGCUGGCGUUAAUGGAGUUUUUUUAAGGAGAGUUACUGUGAGGAAGAUGAAGGGGAUAUCUAGGCCGUUGUUUGGGGUGUAACGGCGAGCUCGCCAUUGGCGAGGAGAAGAGGAGUCGAGGGGUCGUUUUGGUGGGGGAGGAAGACGUGAUCUUAGGGGGGAGGGGGUGGUUUCCUCUGUAUUGUUGCGGC